CCUACGGGAGGCAGCAGUGAGGAAUAUUGGUCAAUGGGCGAGAGCCUGAACCAGCCAAGUCGCGUGAAGGAUGAAGGAUCUAUGGUUUGUAAACUUCUUUUAUAUGGGAAUAAAGUGAGGAACGUGUUCCUUUUUGUAUGUACCAUAUGAAUAAGCAUCGGCCAACUCCGGUCCAGCAGCCGCGGUAAUACGGAGGAUGCGAGCGUUAUCCGGAUUUAGUGGGUUUAAAGGGUGCGUAGGUGGUUAUUUAAGUCAGCUGUGAAAGUUUGUGGCUCAACCAUAACAUUGCCGUUGAAACUGGUUGACUUGAGUAUAUUUGAGGUAGGCGGAAUGCGUGGUGUAGCGGUGAAAUGCAUAGAUAUCACGCAGAACUCCGAUUGCGAAGGCAGCUUACUAAACUAUAACUGACACUGAAGCACGAAAGCGUGGGGAUCGAACAGGAUUAGAUACCCCAGUAGUC
rnacentral:rRNA from 1 species